rnacentral:rRNA from 1 species
UUAUCGGAGAGUUUGAUCCUGGCUCAGGACGAACGCUGGCGGCGUGCCUAAUACAUGCAAGUCGAGCGGACAGAUGGGAGCUUGCUCCCUGAUGUAAGCG